GCCCUUGAAAAAAUCAAAGGUGAUACCUGCCCAAUGAUCAAAAAAAAUAAUACUAAAGUAUUAAAAAAUAUUAAAUGGAUGCGGUAACCUUGACUGUAAUAAUGUAGCAUAAUCAAUCGCCACUUAAUUGGUGGAUAGUAUGAAUGGUUUAACGAAUAUUAAUCUGUCUUAAUAAUAAAUCUCAUGAAAUUAAAAUAAUAGUAAAGAUGCUAUUUAAAAUUGUAAGACGAAAAGACCCUAUAGAGCUUAACUAUAAUUUUUUUAAUUAAAAAAAUUGGUAGUUUAGUUGGGGCGACUAUUUUUUAAAAAAAACUAAAAUAAACAAAAUUAAUAAAUUAAUUUACUGUAUAAAAAACUAUUUUAACAGUUAUAAAAGUAGGUUAUAAUGACCCGUUAUUAUAGAAUAAUAUAAAUAACGAUUAUUGAAUAAAAGCUACCUUAGGGAUAACAGAAUAAUUUUACUUAAGAGAUCUUAUCAAAAGUAAAGAUUAUUACCUCUAUGUUGAAUUAAGAUAUCCUAAUAAUGCAGAAGUUAUUAAAGGUAGGUCUGUUCGACCUUUAAAAUCUU
rnacentral:rRNA from 1 species